rnacentral:rRNA from 1 species
UACAUGGGGUGCAAACGUUGCUCGGAAUUAUUGGGCGUAAAGCGCGCGUAGGCGGUUUGAUAAGUCGGGUGUGAAAGCCCCGGGCUUAACCUGGGAAUUGCAUUCGAUACUGUCUGACUCGAGUCUGGGAGAGGGAAGCGGAAUUCCGGGUGUAGCGGUGAAAUGCGUAGAUAUCUGGAGGAACACCGGUGGCGAAGGCGGCAUCCUGGACCAAUACUGACACUGAGGAGCGAAAGCCAGGGGAGCAAACGGG